UACGAAGGGGGCUAGCGUUGCUCGGAAUCACUGGGCGUAAGCGCACGUAGGCGGAUUGCUAAGUCAGGGGUGAAAUCCUGGAGCUCAACUCCAGAACUGCCUUUGAUACUGGCGACCUUGAGUCCGGGAGAGGUGAGUGGAACUGCGGAGUGUAGAGGUGAAAUUCGUAGAUAUUCGCAAGAACACCAGUGGCGAAGGCGGCUCACUGGCCCGGUACGUGACGCUGAGGUGCGAAAGCG
rnacentral:rRNA from 1 species